AGAGUUUGAUCCUGGCUCAGAACGAACGCUGGCGGCAGGCUUAACACAUGCAAGUCGAACGCACCUUUCGGGGUGAGUGGCAGACGGGUGAGUAACGCGUGGGAACGCGCCCUUCAGUUCGGGAUAACCCAGGGAAACUUGGGCUAAUACCGGAUACGUGCGAGAGCAGAAAGAUUUAUCGCUGAAGGAUCGGCCCGCGUCUGAUUAGCUAGUUGGUAGGGUAAUGGCCUACCAAGGCGACGAUCAGUAGCUGGUCUGAGAGGAUGAUCAGCCACAUUGGGACUGAGACACGGCCCAAACUCCUACGGGAGGCAGCAGUGGGGAAUAUUGGACAAUGGGCGCAAGCCUGAUCCAGCCAUGCCGCGUGAGUGAUGAAGGCCUUAGGGUUGUAAAGCUCUUUCGUCCGGGACGAUAAUGACGGUACCGGAAGAAGAAGCCCCGGCUAACUUCGUGCCAGCAGCCGCGGUAAUACGAAGGGGGCUAGCGUUGUUCGGAAUCACUGGGCGUAAAGGGCGCGUAGGCGGCUUGAUAAGUCGGGGGUGAAAGCCUGUGGCUCAACCACAGAAUUGCCUUCGAUACUGUCUGGCUUGAGACCGGAAGAGGUAAGUGGAACUGCGAGUGUAGAGGUGAAAUUCGUAGAUAUUCGCAAGAACACCAGUGGCGAAGGCGGCUUACUGGUCCGGUUCUGACGCUGAGGCGCGAAAGCGUGGGGAGCAAACAGGAUUAGAUACCCUAGUAGUCC
rnacentral:rRNA from 1 species